rnacentral:rRNA from 1 species
UGGGUGUGCCGGCUGAUUAGGUAGUUGGCGGGGUAACGGCCCACCAAGCCUACGAUCAGUAACUGGUGUGAGAGCACGACCAGUCACACGGGCANUGAGACACGGGCCCCGAUUCUUACGGGGAGGCAGCAGUAAGGAAUAUUGGUCAAUGGACGCAAGUCUGAACCAGCCAUGCCGCGUGAAGGAUGAAGGUCCUCUGGAUUGUAAAUUCUUUUAUUUGGGAAGAAAUCCAUUUUUUCUAAAGUGGUUGACGGUACCAGAUGAAUAAGCACCGGCUAACUCCGUGCCAGCAGCCGCGGUAAUACGGAGGGUGCAAGCGUUAUCCGGAUUCACUGGGUUUAAAGGGUGCGUAGGUGGGCGUGUAAGUCAGUGGUGAAAUCUCCGGGCUUAACCCGGAAACUGCCAUUGAUACUAUAUGUCUUGAAUACCAUGGAGGUGAGCGGAAUAUGUCAUGUAGCGGUGAAAUGCUUAGAUAUGACAUAGAACACCAAUUGCGAAGGCAGCUCACUACGUGGGUAAUUGACGCUGAGGCACGAAAGC